rnacentral:rRNA from 1 species
AGUGAACGCUGGCGGCAGGCCUAACACAUGCAAGUCGAACGGCAGCACAGUAAGAGCUUGCUCUUACGGGUGGCGAGUGGCGGACGGGUGAGGAAUACAUCGGAAUCUACUUUUUCGUGGGGGAUAACGUAGGGAAACUUACGCUAAUACAGCAUACGACCUACGGGUGAAAGCAGGGGAUCUUCGGACCUUGCGCGAUUGAAUGAGCCGAUGUCGGAUUAGCUAGUUGGCGGGGUAAAGGCCAACCAAGGCGACGAUCCGUAGCUGGUCUGAGAGGAUGGUCAGCCACACUGGCACUGAGACACGGUCCAGACUCCGACGGGAGGCAGCAGUGGGGAAUAUUGGACAAUGGGCGCAAGCCUGAUCCAGCCAUACCGCGUGGGUGAAGAAGGCCUUCGGGUUGUAAAGCCCUUUUGUUGGGAAAGAAAAGCAGCAGGUUAAUACCCCGCUGUUCUGACGGUACCGAAAGAAUAAGCACCGGCUAACUUCGUG